AGGACCCCACCCCCGUAGAAUUUUCUGUGGCGGUCCAUUUUUGGGCUCCCCACCUUCGGCUUCGCCUCGAUUACAAGCGUCCUCGUCGAGCAAGAAGCUUUACGAAGCACCCUCGGAACACUCGACUCGCGCCACUCUACUCGCUCGGGUUAGUGAACUCGAUAGUUUCUUGAAGGAAGCCGGCAAAAGAAAAAGGCCGCCACCAUGGACGCGAUCAAGAAGAAGAUGCAAGCGAUGAAGCUUGAAAAGGAUAAUGCGAUGGAUAAAGCCGAUGCCUGCGAAGGACAGGCGAAGGAGGCGAAUAUGCGCGCGGAUAAGGUCAACGAGGAAGUCGGUGAAUUACAAAAGAAGCUUACCCAGGUUGAAGCCGAUCUUCAAGCCAACAAACAAGCCCUGGAUCAGGCCAACAAGGAUCUCGAAGAAAAAGAGAAAGCUCUGACUAACGCCGAAUCCGAGGUCGCCGCUCUGAACCGAAAAGUACAAUUGAUUGAGGAGGACUUGGAGAGAUCCGAGGAACGAUUGAACACUGCCACUGCCAAGUUGGCCGAAGCUUCUCAGGCUGCCGACGAAUCUAGCCGUAUGUGCAAAGUAUUGGAAAACCGCGCGCAACAGGAUGAAGAGAGGAUGGAUCAGCUGACGAAUCAACUGAAAGAGGCUCGUCUGCUUGCCGAAGACGCUGAUGGGAAAUCGGACGAAGUAUCGCGAAAGCUGGCCUUUGUUGAAGACGAGUUGGAAGUCGCUGAGGAUCGAGUCAAGUCUGGUGAAGCCAAGAUCAUGGAACUUGAAGAGGAACUUAAAGUGGUCGGUAACAGCUUGAAAUCUUUGGAAGUAUCCGAAGAGAAGGCUAAUCAAAGAGUCGAGGAGUUCAAGCGCCAGCUCAAGACCCUAACAGUGAAACUAAAGGAAGCUGAAGCCCGUGCCGAAUUUGCUGAGAAAACUGUUAAGAAACUGCAGAAGGAGGUCGACAGGCUCGAAGACAUAUUGCACCAGCAGAAGGAGAAACGCAAAACGAUUUGCGAAGAAUUGGACAAGACAUUCUCUGAGCUUUCUGGCUACUAAAAAAAAAAAAAAAAAAUAUCAUCCAUAGUCGUUUCAAAUUUUCUCGUUUAUUCCUGUACACGAAACAUAUUUAGCUAUUUCUGUAUCGUUGUCUUCUCUCUUUCAAAGAUACUUUUCCGCUUUAGCUGAUUUUUUCUUCUUUUCCGCUGCAAUAGCUUCCAAAUUUGGGCGUAAUUUUUACUUUUUUACGACCGAAAAACCAACAAAGGAGAUGUUAAAAGUGCAUUCUCCGUCUUUUUUUUUUUGCCUUUUUUCUUGCGUUCUCACGGUCAUGUAAAACCGACAGUAUCAUUCUUUUUUAUCGAUCAUCGUUCAUGUUUAAAGUUCCGUUGGUUCCAUUUUAUUCUCUUGUGAUUUCCCUUCUUUUUUCUUUCUUUGUUUACUGCCCGAUCACUGUUUCAAUCGUCCGAUUUGGGAGCGCUUUGCUUAGUUUUUUUUUUUUAUAAAAACAGAUUAAUUAGUACUUGUCGUUUACGUUAAGCAUUGUCUAUUAAUAUACGCGUACAAGAACACAUGAACAUACACACACAAGGCACUUAACAGAAUAAAAUAAAACAAAAAGCUUCGCACGUUUAUGUGGGCCGUCGUACGUCAGACGAAUUGGGCAUCAACAAGGAUAGAUACAAGUCACUCGCCGACGAGAUGGACUCCACGUUCGCCGAAUUGGCAGGAUACUAAGUUAUUUCGAUCUUUUGUGCUU